AGUGAACGCUGGCGGUAGGCCUAACACAUGCCAGUCGAACGGCAGCACAGUAAGAGCUUGCUCUUACGGGUGGCGAGUGGCGGACGGGUGAGGAAUACAUCGGAAUCUACUUUUUCGUGGGGGAUAACGUAGGGAAACUUACGCUAAUACCGCAUACGACCUACGGGUGAAAGCAGGGGAUCUUCGGACCUUGCGCGAUUGAAUGAGCCGAUGUCGGAUUAGCUAGUUGGCGGGGUAAAGGCCCACCAAGGCGACGAUCCGUAGCUGGUCUGAGAGGAUGAUCAGCCACACUGGAACUGAGACACGGUCCAGACUCCUACGGGAGGCAGCAGUGGGGAAUAUUGGACAAUGGGCGCAAGCCUGAUCCAGCCAUACCGCGUGGGUGAAGAAGGCCUUUGGGUUGUAAAGCCCUUUUGUUGGGAAAGAAAAGCAGCAGGUUAAUACCCCGCUGUUCUGACGGUACCCAAAGAAUAAGCACCGGCUAACUUCGUG
rnacentral:rRNA from 1 species